rnacentral:tRNA from 1 species
CAGGGAGACAACAAAAUGUUUUAUAUUAUUAUUUUGUCACCUUAGGUCGAUCGGUAUCUCACGUUUUUAAUUUAUUAAAAAUUUCAUUUCCUAAGUUUUUCUAGGUCACACCCAUUAUUUUUCCUGGGCCAUUAGCUCAGGUGGUUAGAGCGCACCCCUGAUAAGGGUGAGGUCCCUGGUUCAAGUCCAGGAUGGCCCAUAUCUCUAUGUUGGGGGUAUAGCUCAGUUGGUAGAGCGCCUGCUUUGCAAGCAGGAUGUCAGCGGUUCGAGUCCGCUUACCUCCACUGAUUACCACCUCUUCCAUAACAGGUAUAAAGGAAAUGUUUUGAGUAGUGAUCAAAUUCUGAAAGAAUCUAGCUUCCUAAUGAAAUCAUUAAGAUGCUGGACUCAUUGAAUUAAUUUCAUUGUUUUCAGAGAACCUUGACAACUGCAUAGAUUAUUUUUAAAGACAAUAAGCAUCUUUAAUGAUGCAGAUUUAUUAUUUGUGCGAAUGCAUUAAUAACAAUUCUAUUAAGCUGAUGCUUCAAUUUUUGAAGUUAUU